GAUGAACGCUGGCGGCGUGCUUAACACAUGCAGGUCGAACGAAGCAUUUAAGACAGAUUACUUCGGUUUGAAGUCUUUUAUGACUGAGUGGCGGACGGGUGAGUAACUCGUGGGUAACCUGCCUCAUACGGGGGGAUAGCAGCUUGAAACGGCUGGUAAUACCGCAUAAGCGCACAGUACCACAUGGUACAGUGUGAAAAACUCCGGUGGUAUGAGAUGGACCCGCUUCUGAUUGUCUUGUUGGCGGGGUAACGGCCCACCAAGGCGACGAUCAGGAGCCGAGAUGAGAGGGUGACCGGCCACAUUGGGACUGAGACACGGCCCAGAAUCCUACGGAAGGCAGCAGUGGGGAAUAUUGCAAAAUGGAGGAAACUAUGAUGCAGCGACGCCGCGUGAGUGAAGAAGUAGUUCGCUAUGUAAAGCUCUAUCAGAAGGGAAGAUAGUGACGGUACCUGACUAAGAAGCUCCGGCUAAAUACGUG
rnacentral:rRNA from 1 species